AUGAACGCUGGCGGCGUGCCUAAUACAUGCAAGUCGAGCGAACAGACGAGGAGCUUGCUCCUCUGACGUUAGCGGCGGACGGGUGAGUAACACGUGGAUAACCUACCUAUAAGACUGGGAUAACUUCGGGAAACCGGAGCUAAUACCGGAUAAUAUAUUGAACCGCAUGGUUCAAUAGUGAAAGACGGUUUUGCUGUCACUUAUAGAUGGAUCCGCGCCGCAUUAGCUAGUUGGUAAGGUAACGGCUUACCAAGGCGACGAUGCGUAGCCGACCUGAGAGGGUGAUCGGCCACACUAGAACUGAGACACGGUCCAGACUCCUACGGGAGGCAGCAGUAGGGAAUCUUCCGCAAUGGGCGAAAGCCUGACGGAGCAACGCCGCGUGAGUGAUGAAGGUCUUCGGAUCGUAAAACUCUGUUAUUAGGGAAGAACAAAUGUGUAAGUAACUAUGCACGUCUUGACGGUACCUAAUCAGAAAGCCACGGCUAACUACGUG
rnacentral:rRNA from 1 species